rnacentral:pre_miRNA from 1 species
AUUUCACUCUUUCAACUGUUGGUCGAAAUAUAUCCAGCCGUUGUUGCAGUGAAGU